rnacentral:lncRNA from 1 species
AGAGGAGGCAGUAAAAGCGGGUCUGGGUGGGUGGAUAAGGGGGGAUAACCUGUGGAUUGAAAUGGUGUGCCUCCCCCCUCCCUGCCACCCGCCCUCGAUCCCCUUGAUUCUGAGAGGCCGUUUUUCUCUGCGGCCACAAAGGGAGAGGGCUCGGAUUGCGCCGGGACAUUCACCGGCCCACUUUGUUUUCAAAUGGUUUUGUUUAGUUGUGACACUGUAGACACCCAACACCUUCCAAGAAUCCGAACUCUUCUGUGGGGGAGCAGAGAGGGCAGGUGGGUGGUGUUUGGGCGUGAGGGGAAUGGAGGGGGAAGAGGUAGCUUCAGAGUGGAAAUUUGGGGGUUAGUAUUUGCUUUUUGGAGGUUCUAGAUUCAUUUUUAGCCUAAUCUCUCUCUUCUCUCACACAUCUCCAUUUUUCCAAGCUUUUCUGUCCUAAAAUAAAUGUCACACGUUUUAUCUUCUGCCUCCCCCACUCCCCCCUGCCCUGACUCCUGCACUCCACCCUGUUUCGUAGACCCCCUCUCCCCUGCCUUCUCCUCCAGCACUCCCUCAAAGCCCCCUGAGGCGUUCACACUGUUAAAUCCAAUCCACCUCCGAGUGUUUAAGCAGCUUAACACAGCAGGAUCUGCACCGCUCAGCCCAGGAGAGGCUGAUGCUUGACAGGUAAUACAGGACUAAGUCUAGGCUUAGCCUUUACUUUUACAUAACACUUCCUGCCAGUCUGCUGAGGCAUGUGACGCCUUACAAGCGUGGAGAUGUGCAGGAAUGCUUCUAAUGCUCGAGUGCUCCAACACAAAUGUGAGCCAACACAAUUUUAAGCCCCUUUGCUCCAAGGAAGUCUUGUCAGUUUUAGCAAAAAAAAAAAAAAAGAAUAUUGAGUGGUAGCUAUUUGGAGAGGAACUACUCCUAAAACACAUGUCCCAGGUCAAGCUACGUCUCCAGAAGUGCGUCUCUCAAGUAUCUCUUGAACCGUUUUCAUAUUGCUAGUUCAAGACUACGUAGAAUUUCGUACCACUGCAAUGGCUUGUCUUUAGUAUCAAAGGGAUAUUCCGAAGUUAAAGCCAUGGUCAAACACACCGUAACACCGGGUUAGACGACCCCCCCGAGAAAUGAAUUUUGCUGACCACUUGCUUCUCUAGUUACACCAACUUUGGCAAAGACCGCACGAUAGCAAUACACAUCGGUCUAUGUCUCCACACGCAAACCGCAACCAAAAAGCCACUCAUAGCCACAAAUAAUGCUCAGAACAGCCCUAGCAUGAGCAUUACUUGUGGCCGCGAGUGGCUUUUUGUUUGCAGUUUGCGCGUGAAAGCAUAGAGAGCUGGAGAAUAUUUAUAAAGUGAAAGGGGGUUAACAUGGUGCUAACGUCUACACAACAGACAAGACCUGGAGGAGUUAAGCGUUACCUUCAGAAUUUAAAGCAGAUGACGCCGAGAUGUUAACUCUGCUCCUGCUUUUUCCCCCCUUCGACGAAUUUAAAGCUUUGCAAGUGUUGCAAGUAGCCCUGGUAUCAUCUUUUCACGUGAAAUACAGCCAAACUCUGGAUUGCUUUUGCCUCAACGCCAUGCUUGAAAGUUCUGAACCAAAACACACUUCUUGCGUACUACGUCAUCACGCCUAGAGACGUAAGAGGAAUUGAUUAGCAGAACUAUUGAGGAGGCAGAGAAGGAAUUUUUAGAAAUCGAAUCACUGGGAGCGGUUAUCGAUUCUCAUCCCUAGUGUCUUCUGUCUUUUGCCAACAUUCAACUUAAACUGUGUACAUUUUCAUACAUUCUGAACUCUCUACGUUUAAUGUUGUGAAAAUAUAUCUAUUUAUGAAGUCUACAAAAUGAUACGAUUGAAUAAAUAUAGAAUGAUAAUAAUAUAAGAUAACUUGUAGCAACAGAUUCAGAGCAGUGACACAUUCUCCACUGAGCUUUUCUAGAGCAUGGUUAACUUAGAAAGUAUCUCCACCAUCACUUGAGUUUAAGAUGAGUUCGAAAGCGAAAGAGCAAAAACUUCAGCGUCUUUUUUUAGGGCUUCGACCAUGUCGUGAGGAUUUGCUGUCGAUUUGUUAAUUAUUAAAAUGGAUCCCAUCACCGCACAUGUAGCAGUGCACACUGACAGCCUUUGUAAAUGCCUCUUGACAUGCUUGACAAGGCGGCAGUACCUGAGCUCACAGGGGCCAUGGAGUCAAUUGCUACACAUAGGCAGUGCUUUGAAGGGCAGGGGUGCGUGCCGAGCCGGGCCGCGGGUGGCACACACACACACCCACACACACAUGAUCCGUUCUACAAUCAAACACACCACAUCCCCAAGGACGGAUGGUGCAGUGGCGGGCUGCAAACCCUACCUUGCCAAACACCAUCAGGCCAGGGGCAGCUGAGUUCACCUGCAAUGCUAUUCACCCAAGAAGAAAAAAAACAAAGAGUGCAUGUGCGCUGAGUACGUGUGUGUGUGUUUGUGAGUGUGUUGUGGGCUUUGAAUGAGGCUAAAAGGCAGCAAGAAGGUAAAAGAGCUGAAAAGAAAAAAAAAGAAAAAACAGAAAUAGAGUGAGUGUGUCUGAGAGAAAAAGAAUGAAUGAAGAGACACGUAAAAAGAGCGACUGGAAAGACUAUCUGCUGCAUUAACCUUCCCCUUCACAGUGCCAGUAUAGAGUCUUUUCUGCACUCCUCUUUCAGCAGGGAGGACCCAGGGGACGGUAACGCUAAGCCCCAGUCCAUUCUUCCACCAGAAACUUUGAUUUCCUAUUAGGUUCCUCCUGAUGGGGACUGAUGGGGAGAGGAGCGGAGAGGAAAGAGGGGAAGGGAAUGACAUGGAGAUGGAGGGCAGGGGGAAGAGAAAGUAGAGUGGACUGAAAAGUUGCCAAAAAAUGAAACAGUAAAAAGGCGGCAAAACUCAAACCAAAGAAAUCGAGAGUGAGGAGGAGGUGAAGAGUGGAGGUGAAUAAGGAGGGCUUGAUGCACAUCACAUGCGGUGGUUGUUGGACGUUUACUCUGGGACACUGGCUGUGCCUGUCCUGCGUACUGAGGGCAUUGUUUACGCUCAGCCCACUUAGCACUGACCUUUAGCUGGCAGACAUACAGACUGAGAGUUAAGAAGGAACACUGUGUCCAUUUAUGUCGACUUGGGUAUCCAAGUUCUGGUUGUUGUUUUUUAAAGUAUCCUGUUUUUUGUAUUUGACCAUAUCAACAUCUCAUCCCAACUUCAGGAACCACGAAAAGCCCUUAUCCUGGCUUAAGAAACCCACAUUUUGCUACAUAUAUAGAUGCCUGUCUAACAGUUUCUGGCCACUGCUGACUACCUGCGUAUUGGCACAGCCCCAGCCAAGUGAUGUGUCUGAAGAACAAGUAUGGUGCUGGUCUUCAGAGUGUCUUACUUCUGGAGUAACAAAUAAACUAUGAAUUUGAAAAUUGGAAGUUUAGAUUUGGAGAAUUACUCAAUCCAGUUUGUGUACAUGACCUUAAUUUGUUCACUUAUACCUUUAGACUCAAUUUCAUGUAAUUAAAACCUCACUGGCCCUAUUAUUUAGUGCAAGAAGCAAAAGUUUAAAAGUUUAGUUACAAGGCCAUCAACAACUCAUCACCACCAACUUUCUUUUUUCCUUGUUUUGAAUGUCCAAAGUCUAGGAUUGCACUGAAACUGGAAAGGCCCGUAUUAUUAUCACAACACAUGAGAUGCACAUAUGUGGCCUGCAUUUUGCGUAACAGUACAUGACCUCCCAGGAGGGCAAUACAGGAACAAAAAUCCUUUUGCUGCAAAGGGAGGCCAAGUUCAACUGAUCGCUAUUGUCAGCUAACUUCAUUUACACAUUUUGUCAAGUCAUCCCCAUUAUAUUGACAAGUAUCGAGUUUUUCUAAAAGACUGAAGAGAAAUGUGUGGGUGCCUUAGAUAGACACGUGGCGCAAAAAGAAACUUCUGUCUGAGAAAAAAUAGGCAAAUAAACAACGAAUAUGGAAGAUUUUGAAGUUCAUUUUUUGGUGGAUAAAAUUAAUGACGCCCCUUUUCAAUAAAUCAUAUAUCAUGAACUACCCAUUAAAAAGCGUUAUGAUUAUAAUUCAUAAGUUGAUGAACAUCCAAGACAGCUCAAACAAUGACUUUCUCCUGACAACAACAACAACAUUUCUGUGUUUUUAUGAUAAGUAGUCCCCCUGUCUUGUGUGGGAAAGAGGGAUGAGACUGAUAUUAAAGUCGAGUAGGCGAGACACAGAGAUAUGGAGACAGAGACAUACAGAGAGACACAAAAGGGAGCAGGAGAGAGGUAGUCAGAGGGAGAAUGAUUGAUUGAUGUGGUCAGUGAGGCGUCACUGAUCUCCAAGGGAGACCCCCACCCCUUCAUCGCCAAUGAGGAGGAUGUGGAUUGGCUUUAAUGGUGUGAAAACAAGCAGACUGCAGCACUAAUCUGGAAGGAGGAGGAAGAUAAGGACAGCCAAAUAAGCUAUAAACAAAUAGAGUCAAUGAGCCCAGAAGUUUCUCGCGUUUGCAGCCCCUUGAGCAGAAUUUAUUUUAUUUUUGUUUUAUAGUAUUAACUAGUGUUGGAGGGAGGACAGAGGCACAUUAGUCAUAAAGAUCCGCAAACUAAUUUUCACCAAAAUAAAAUCAGCGUUUUAUUUAUGCACUAAAUUACACUAAAGUAAAGAUUAAUGCUAUUGUGGAGCAAAACUCGCUUUUAAUCAAAAUAUCAAACAUUAAACAUCUUAAUGCAGAGAAAAGUGGAGUUAAACAGCUGCAACAUGAGCCUGGUCUGGCAGUCAGUUAAACCAGCACUGUUUGUGUGUUUGUGUUACCCUGCAGAGAGGCUGACUAAUCCGUUACAGCGGUAGGAAAUGUCUAGCUAUAUUAGGCGUGUUAUCCUGCUGGGAUCUUGUAUUUCAAUGGGAGUCCUUUGCUCCUAAAGAUGCCCUGUGGGCAUCCUCAAGCAACAGACAACAAAUACACUUAAAAUGGAUCCAGUUAAGACCAUCUUAAGGUUGUUUUCACAUCUGAAUCACUGUAUACAUUAUUUUAGCUGUAUUAUUUUAGAGAAAAAAGGUUAAGGGUAUUUUACCGUCAUCGUAGAUUACAAAAGUAGUUCUUAAUUAAAAAAUAACAAACAAGCGCUGGUAUUUAAGGUAUUUUUGCACGGGUUUAGGUUCACAGUUCCACUGUUCCUUUUCCUUUCUAGGAGCAAAGAUCCAUGUUAAUCCAAUUCCUUAACUGUGGGGAGCAGUGUGCUGUUUGAAUGCAGCAGGGGGCUUGCUGUUUGCGAGUGCGCCCUGCAGCUAUUGUUGGGUGUAAAGAGACCACUCGAGACCGACAUGAUAGUACUGCUCCUCUGUCAAGUGGAUGAUGUUAGUUGGGUGGGCUGCUGGUGGUACUCAUCCACGAGCAGCACAUAACUGAACAUAAUCUCACGGGUAAGCCUUGGAACAAGGAGUGUGAGGCUGAUUUCUAGUUGGAUGAUAACAGUUUCAAGUUUUCACUUUCAUUAUAUUGAAAUGUGCACUUCACACUAAAAUCAUUGCAGAUGCAUUGUUCAAUGUCCAUCCAUAUAUAUGUCUUUUUUUCCUCGUAAAUGUACUUGUGCCACUCUAUUUAACCACCUGUACCUCUACCAGUCACCAAAUCUGAUUUUCUUUUCAGCGCCUCGCUACUGCCUGCCACAACUCCACUGUGGCCUGCCUCUUUCUUGGAUGGGUGGCUGAAUGGCUGAAAACGAUAGGACAUGUAUCUCUAAUUGGAAAGAUGAAGAAAGAGAUGUGCAACAUCACUGUGUAUCUGUGUGCGGAGGAGAGAGGGAGGCAGGUAAGGUGGAGGUGGAGGUUGUCUCUGUGCUCUCUGAGUGCUGUGUGAGUGCAGGAGGGAGGCUGUAAACGAUACCCUUGUCUGUUCCCUUCUUGCCCCACUCUGAGGCUGCUCCACCCUGGGCAGCCCGGGAAAGAGUGGGGGUCCCCUGGGAACUGGACAGGACAGGGAGGAGGAGGGGGAAGGGGGGGCUGGUUGCAUGGAGGCCAGGCUUUCAGCCACUAUGAAAAGGAGCGGAAUCAAAUACAAGCAAAAUCUCCUUCAAUGUACUGUAUCCCUCACCUGAGUAGGGCAGCUAGCUGAAAGCAGAUCCAUGGGGGCGACUGUACAAUGGGCCCUGAGAGGACAAGAGAGGGGGAGAGGAGGGAUAUAGUUAAUUUAACAGAGGAGUGGGGGCAGAAAUAACAAGGCUGAGUGCAAAAGACAACAAUUUACAGCUACCUGCAACAAAUUUCAGUUCAAGUUUUUUGAACUGGCACAAAGACUUAAUAUUCAACUUUGUCCUUUUUUUAUUGGAUGAAUUAUUGAAUGAAUUUCCCUUUGGUGAUACAUAAAGUUCUUGCAUUACAUUUGUCUUUUUUCUCUCCUUGUUUUUGCUAGCAUUCUACCUUUUUCUACUUUGAGGCAGGCCACCAGAGUGUGUUCACCAUCAAUAUUUGUACUUUUGUAAAUUAGCCAUGCAGACUUUUACCCAUUCCUUUAGCCCUUUAUUUUCAUAUCAAACUGAAACUUUAAGCAGAUACACAUCAGGUCAAUUUUCGGCCAGACUCCCACUUUCAGAAAAAACUGAGCAGAGACCCAUACUUUCACGUUUUUGACCUAAAUAGCUGUCAGAGUAAAGCGCUAUUCUUCAAAAAAAGUGAAAUAAAAAAAGUUAUUCUGAACUAUUGUGUUCAUAUACUGUUAUUCUUAACAACCAGGUUGCUGUACCUCCACGUUUGCCUUCCUACAACAGUUUAAUCAUACCACACACUUCAGAUUUUUCUUUAAGGCAUUUCCAUUUUAAGUGGGGUGGUUUCCAGCGUUUUUCCAGUUGUUUCUCCUGAAACAACAUCUUUUCCAAAAUGAUAAGAGAUUAAAAAAAAAUGAAAUAAAUAAAUUUAAAAAAUAAAAAUAAAAAAAACGUGUGAAAUGGGCAGAGGAAUAGUGCAGUGUGUACAUCUGGUAAGUCAAAACAUAUAUAUUUUUUUACAACUAAAACAUGUAAAACUGAUGAAUAUUUAAGCUUUUUAAAAUCUUUUUUAUCAUUAUCUUCUGAUCAACCACACCUUUUCGCGCAGAUACCUGACACUGAAACCUUAACACUUAAAGCUAAUAGACCUGACACUGAACCCUCCUGAACUCUGUAUGUUCUUUACAUACAUGCAAUCCUACUGUACACGUGAAUUUGGCGGGCUGCCAACAAAGGUUAUGUGUGGUUAAGUUGACACAUGUGUCAGAGGACACACAUGAUCACACUCCUGCAGAUAGAUGAACAUCCCACCUCUUUGCCCCCUCCCACUCUCUCACACAACUCUCAUGUUCCAAGGUGUGAAAAAGAUGGAAAAUCACCUGCAGCCAAAUCACUUCCGCAGCUCGC